CCUACGUGUGGCAGCAGUGAGGAAUAUUGGUCAAUGGGCGCGAGCCUGAACCAGCCAAGUCGCGUUCGGGAAUACGGUCCUAUGGAUUGUCAACCUCUUUUGUCGGGGAGCCACAGACUCCACGCGUGGCGUUCCGAGAGUACCCGCAGAAAAACCAUCGGCUAACUCCGGGCGCGCCUCCGCGGUACUCAGCAGGAUGCGAGCGUUCUCCGUAUUUAUUGGGUUUAAAGGGUUCGCAGGCGGAAGAUCAAGUCAGCGGUAAAAUUGAGAGGCUCAACCUCUUCGAGCCGUUGAAACUGGUUUUCUUGAGUGAGUGAGAAGGAUGCGGAAUGCGUGGUGUAGCGGUGAAAUGCAUAGAUAUCACGCAGAACUCCGAUUGCGAAGGCAGCAUACCGGCGCUCAACUGACGCUCAUGCACGAAAGUGUGGGUAUCGAACAGGAUUAGAUACCCCGGUAGUC
rnacentral:rRNA from 1 species